rnacentral:rRNA from 1 species
UAGGGAAUCUUCCGCAAUGGACGAAAGUCUGACGGAGCAACGCCGCGUGAGUGAUGAAGGUUUUCGGAUCGUAAAACUCUGUUGUUAGGGAAGAACAAGUGCCGUUCGAAAGGGCGGCACCUUGACGGUACCUAACGAGAAAGCCUCGGCUAACUACGUG